CCCUUAGAUGUCCUGGGCCGCACGCGCGCUACACUGACAUGUUCAACAAGCCUCCUAGUUCGACAGGAUUUGGGAAAUCUUUGAACGCAUGUCGUGAUAGGGAUAGAUCAUUGCAAUUAUUGAUCUUGAACGAGGAAUUCCUAGUAAACGCGAGUCAUCAGCUCGCAUUGAUUACGUCCCUGCCCUUUGUACACACCGCCCGCCGCACCUACCGAUUGAAUGUUUCGGUGAAGAUUCCGGAUAGGACUUUUUUGAUUUAUUUCAAUUUUGUCUUAAAAGCUAUCUAAACCUCAACAUUUAGAGGAAGGUGAAGUCGUAACA
rnacentral:rRNA from 1 species